CCUACGGGGGGCAGCAGUGAGGAAUAUUGGUCAAUGGACGAGAGUCUGAACCAGCCAAGUAGCGUGAAGGAUGACUGCCCUAUGGGUUGUAAACUUCUUUUAUAAAGGAAUAAAACGAGGCACGUGUGCCUUUUUGCAUGUACUUUAUGAAUAAGGAUCGGCUAACUCCGUGCCAGCAGCCGCGGUAAUACGGAGGAUCCGAGCGUUAUCCGGAUUUAUUGGGUUUAAAGGGAGCGUAGAUGGGUUGUUAAGUCAGUUGUGAAAGGUUGCGGCUCAACCGGAAAAUUGCAAUUGAUACUGGCAGUCUUGAGUACAGUUGAGGUAGGCGGAAUUCGUGGUGUAGCGGUGAAAUGCUUAGAUAUCACGAAGAACCCCGAUUGCGAAGGCAGCUUACUAAACUGUGACUGACAUUGAUGCUCGAAAGUGUGGGUAUCAAACAGGAUUAGAUACCCUUGUAGUC
rnacentral:rRNA from 1 species